GCGUGAAAAAAAAAAAAAAAAAAAAAAAAAAAAAAAAAG
rnacentral:ribozyme from 13 species